rnacentral:lncRNA from 1 species
CCAGCGGCUCCGACCCUUCAAGGCCCCGCACAUGCCCAUCACAGUGCCGUGACCAGAUUCGAGGGCUAUCGAGAAUUUUUAGUGGGUAGGCGGGUGUGCAAACAUGAAACCCACGAUGAAUGCAAUUGACUACAUCCAGAACAUCAUCGGGUCACCAUGCAAGUAAUAUGAAAAUCACCAGUGGGAUCACUUACAUUCUCUUUUUGGUGCUAAGUCUUUGAAAUCCAAGGUCAGUUCGACACUCAAAGGAGUUCUCAAUUUGGGCCACAUUUCAGGUGCUCGAGAGCCACAGGCCGCUGUCUGGCUUUCUUCAGAGUCUCGAAGGGGCCCGUGAACUCAAAGAGUAACCAUAAAAGGUCAAUGCCAGAUACAGCCACCUGGAAGCACCGGCGGUCCCAAGGAGCACGCGCCCUAGGGCACAAGGCAACACGUAUGAGAACAGUUUUCACCCCUGCUCGGAAGAGCUCGAGGUUGGAGGAAACGUAAAGCGUCCCUCGUCAGUAGAAUGGGGCCAUAAACAAGGGCAUGUUCCCACCCUUUGCAGGGGAAGGAGCCGGAGCUCCAAGUGCCAAGCGGAUGGAACUCCCAGACAGAAGCAAGCUGCGGAACGGGAGGCCCCAGACACGAUAGUAUUUAUGCGGCAUUUAGCCACGUGCAGCUUCGGUGUUUGAGCAGCUAGCAUGCGCUGUGGGGAGAAGCGCCCCCAAAGCUGCGCGGUGACGCGGAAAACGGACCCAACAACAGCCGGCACCCAGGCGUCUUUGGACACAUCGGGGUAAAGAGAGUCGGCGGGGUGUGCGGAAUUCCCGCGGGUGGGUCCCUGCCGGCGCCUGGACGCCGCCCCGACGUCCACGGAGGCCGCACCCG